AUCCCGCUGACGAGUCCCAAGUAGGAUGAAAUGCGCACCCUGGAU
rfam:Schistosoma mansoni, Puerto Rico, WGS project CABG01000000 data, contig: 0044